CGAAUCCAAGAAUUUCACCUCUAACGUCGCAAUACGAAUGCCCCCGUCCGUCUCUCUUAAUCAUUACCUCGAGUUCAGGAAACCAACAAAAUAGAACCGAGGCCCUAUUCCAUCAUUCCAUGCACGAAGAUUCAGGCAUUAGCCUGCUUUGAGCACUCUAAUUUUUUCAAAGUAAACGUGUCACUCUCCCAAUACACUCAGUCAAGAGCAUACUGAGAAAGGCGACUGAAUGUCCGAUUCGAACAGUACCACCAAAGCGGACCGCUCGACCGAGACCGAGAUCCAACUACGAGCUUUUUAACCGCAGCAACUUUAAUAUACGCUAUUGGAGCUGGAAUUACCGCUA
rnacentral:misc_RNA from 1 species